rnacentral:lncRNA from 1 species
UUCUUACUGAUUUAGCCAGGGGCAGACAUCCCCAGGCACAGGACUGCUGUUUUACCCAGGACUGUACUCCCUGCUGGCAAAUAACCUCAAAUGUUACAGAGGCUGCCAGGGAUCAUUUGAAAAAAAUGCUUUUUACAAAAAUAGAACUUUGCUUCUCCUCUAGGGGAUGUCCAAGAAGGGCUGCCAGAGUGAGAUCUCCUGGUUUCACUGACAGGAAGGGCUGCUUCACUUCCUCAGGCAGGAUACUUCUUGUCUUCUUGGGAAGAUUGUCUAGGAGCUGUAGAUAAGAAAUUCCUAAAGAUGCAUUCUCCCUAAUGGUCAAGAAAAUGAAUAUUUCUGGAAUUGCCUUAGGAGGAGUUCCACUGGAGAAUAAAGAGAGACUAAAGCCUCCCA